rnacentral:rRNA from 1 species
UACGGAGGGUGCAAGCGUUAUCCGGAUUCACUGGGUUUAAAGGGUGCGUAGGUGGGCUUGUAAGUCAGUGGUGAAAUCUCCGGGCUUAACCCGGAAACUGCCAUUGAUACUAUAGGUCUUGAAUUAUCUGGAGGUCAGCGGAAUAUGUCAUGUAGCGGUGAAAUGCUUAGAUAUGACAUAGAACACCAAUUGCGAAGGUAGCUGGCUACAGGUAUAUUGACACUGAGGCACGAAAGCGUGGGGAUCAAACAGG